GCACCCGUAGUUCAACGGAUAGAAUAUAGGAUUGCGGAUCCUAAGAUCGAGGUUCGAUUCCUCGCGGGUGCACAA
rnacentral:tRNA from 1 species